rnacentral:rRNA from 1 species
UCCUACGGGAAGCAGCAGUGGGGAAUAUUGGACAAUGGGGGGAACCCUGAUCCAGCCAUGCCCCGUGUGUGAACAAGGCUUUAUGGUUUAAAGCACUUUAAGCUGGAGGAGGGUACAGAGACUUAUACUCGGGAUAGUGACGUACUCGCAGAUAGCCCGACGCC